rnacentral:tRNA from 1 species
AGCAGUGUGGCUCAGUGAAGAGAGGCCGGGUUUGGGAGCUAGAGGUCAUGGGUUCGAAUCCCAUCUUUGCCA